rnacentral:rRNA from 1 species
AUUGAACGCUGGCGGCAGGCCUAACACAUGCAAGUCGAGCGAGCGGCGGACGGGUGAGUAAUGUCUGGGAAACUGCCUGAUGGAGGGGGAUAACUACUGGAAACGGUAGCUAAUACCGCAUAACAUCAGAUGUGCCCAGAUGGGAGUAGCUAGUAGGUGGGGUAACGGGUCACCUAGGCGACGAUCCCUAGCUGGUCUGAGAGGAUGACCAGCCACACUGGAACUGAGACACGGUCCAGAAUCCUACGGGAGGCAGCAGUUGGGAAUAUUGCACAAUGGGCGCAAGCCUGAUGCAGCCAUGCCGCGUGUAUGAAGAAGGCCGUCGGGUUGUAAAGUACUUUCAGCGGGGAGGCGUUACCCGCAGAAGAAGCACCGGCUAACUCCGUGCCAGCAGCCGCGGUAAUUC